rnacentral:rRNA from 1 species
UGGCUGUCGUCAGCUCGUGUCGUGAGAUGUUGGGUUAAGUCCCGCAACGAGCGCAACCCUUGUCAUUACGUUGCCAUCAUUUAGUUGAGCACUCGUAAUGAGACUGCCGGUGACAAACCGGAGGAAGGUGGGGAUGACGUCAAGUCCUCAUUGGCCCUUAUGGGUAGGGCUUCACACGUCAUACAAUGGUCGGUACAGAGGGUUGCCAAGCCGCGAGGUGGAGCCAAUCCCAGAAAGCCGAUCGUAGUCCGGAUCGGAGUCUGCAACUCCGACUCCGUGAAGUCGGAAUCGCUAGUAAUCGCGGAUCAGCAUGCCGCGGUGAAUACGUCCCCGGGUCUU